rnacentral:rRNA from 1 species
GUGGGGAAUAUUGGGCAAUGGGCGAAAGCCUGACCCAGCAACGCCGCGUGAAGGAAGAAGGUUUUCGGAUCGUAAACUUCUAUCCUUGGUGAAGAUAAUGACGGUAGCCAAGAAGGAAGCCCCGGCUAACUACGUGCCAGCAGCCGCGGUAAUACGUAGGGGGCAAGCGUUGUCCGGAAUGAUUGGGCGUAAAGGGCGCGUAGGCGGCCUGGUAAGUCUGGAGUGAAAGUCCUGCUUUUAAGGUGGGAAUUGCUUUGGAUACUGUCGGGCUUGAGUGCAGGAGAGGUAAGCGGAAUGCCCGGUGUAGCGGUGAAAUGCGGAGAGAUCGGGAGGAACACCAGUGGCGAAGGCGGCUUACUGGACUGUAACUGACGCUGAGGCGCGAAAGUGUGGGGAGCAAACAGGAUUAGAAACCCUUGUAGUCC